ensembl:lincRNA 5830416I19Rik RIKEN cDNA 5830416I19 gene
CACCCAUUAUUCUGCCGGGAGGGUUGAAAGAAGAUGGAGAAAUAGUGACUCUGUUUCCAGCCGUGGCCAGUAGGCCAAGACAGCAAGCUGUUCGGUCUAUACAGCACGGUUGACAGUACAACAAGCGGCAACCUGGAGACGUCCCACCCAGUCAUCUUUCACCACUUCUCCAAGAGUGAUGGUAGUGCGCCUUCGUGUGAGCACAUUUUGUUUCAGAGGAUGCUGUCACCUUAAGCUCCCAGCAUCCCUGGAGGCGGACAUUUCACUUGAGGACACUGAUUCAGAGAUCUCUGGUUCUGCAGAACUCCUCCCCUCCCCCAGUCCUCUUCCUUGUUCCUCCCCUGUCUUCUAUAUAAGAGAGUCUUAAGGGCCCUACCUGGCCCUCAAACCCCAAAGCUAAAGGCAGAGCUAAGCAGGUGGGAAGGGCUUAACAGAAAUGCAAAGCCUUUGUUUCACCUUCCCUGCAGCUAACAGCAAAGUCUUCCUGACACUGUCCCGCCCACAUGCUGGAGCCAGGAGUCUGGAGCCUCAAGGUCCACGGCUACCUCCGUUCUUAGAGCCCUCAGGCAGAGAGCUGGGAAGACUUUCUCAGCCUCAUGGGACCCAGGGAGGUCAAUGGUGGUCAAAGGCUUUUUCCACUGAAUCACAGGACUCUGGUUGAAGGGCGUUUGCAAGUAGGGAAGCAAGAAUUUGGCACCGGCAUUCUUCAGGUGGUUUCUCCGAGUGCCAACCUGUACCUAUUCCUGAGAAGCCAUAUGAUUUCUGGUUAUAUUAUUACAUAAUUCCAUGGUGAGUCUUAUUUAUGCUCUAUCACUAAGUUUGUAAUAGAUUAAACUAAAACUCACCUUCAUUUCUGGGAAAGCCAUUUGCUCAGAGUUCUUUAAUUAACACAUCAAACAAAAGGAAGGCCACUGACUACAAGAAGGACAGACUGGGGUUGCAGUCAGUCCUGACUGAACCUGGUAUUCAUCUCAGGCAGUUUCCCAGACAUGCAGUCAUUGAUUUUUAACUCAAAAGAUUGCUGGUAGCCUCUCUCAUACAGCAUGUCCAUCCAGGGGGUUCCACCAAGUCUUCUCUUUCUGUUGCCUUGCCUGGGGUUCUAAGGACUCUCUUAGCCUUGCCUGAAACACUCACUUUGUCUCAAGUGUCUGCUCUGGACAGGACAGAAGGUUACAAUCUCCCUGACAAACUCAUUUCUUUGUUAUUCAAAUUAGUUGCUUUAAAAUCCUUUAAUCACCCAUCUCCCUUUAAGAGUCCCCCCUCCCCCCACACACACACACUGUCUUUUUCUCUCUUCUUUCCUCCCACCCUUCUCGUCCUACAUGAUCUUUCUCUCUAGCCCCUGCUGACCUUUAACUCACUAUCUACCUGCCUGAGUCGAGGUGUCGGACUUAUAGGCAGGUCCCACCAUAUUUGGGUUCCAGAAUUCAUCUUCUUUCAACGGAGACUUUCAAAACUGCCCAGCUUGUACUGAGCUCUGUGCUAGGGGUUGAUGGGAGCAAAGAUGAAGCAAGCAAGCCACAGGCCUCUCAAAGCUCAAUGCAGGUACCAUGUGCCCUCUCCUCCUUCAGAUCUGCAUUGAGCUUCCCCAGCUCUCCCGGGGGAUCACCUCAGCCAGGUUAAGGUACCUGCAGAACUCCUGGUGUGCAUCCUUUGUAUCGAUAUUUUGGUCCUCAGGCUGCUUCUGUCACCAUUUGUGUGUAUGGACAAUCUGUGUAACUUGAUUGUUAAGUGUAUGAAGUGGCUCUAGUCUUGCUGUUUUGCCUGAUCAGGAAUAAUUGGCACUCAGUAAAAAAAAAAAAAACAAAACGGCAUUCACCUGCCGGAUGUGAGAAGCAAUCCAGGACCUUGGGGGCAAGAGGAUUGCCUCAGCUUUGGGACGACCUUGGGCUACAUAGUGAGUUCUAGUGACUCCAUAGCCUGUCCAGGGUACAGAGUGAGACCCCCAUCUCAAAAAGUUGAAGGGGUAUGGGAAACCAACAAAAAAUAUUUACCAUUUAUUGAAUGCUUAAUUUUGAGGCAAAGCGGUUUUUCAGUGCCAUCAAAGAAGCCAAGUGCAUCAUCUGCUUUUCUUUUUUUUUUUUAUUUUUAUUUUCUGUAUUCUGAUGUUUGGACAUUUGAGGCAUCGCUGACCUUCAUUGACUCCUCCCACAAUGAGCCCAUGACUACAAAUAGUCAACAUUUGCCUGGAGUUGGCCGUUACCCUCAUUGUUCCUAGGACAGAAACCAAAGGACUUGAUCCUUUGAGCCCACUGCAAUCUGUCAACCUAGCCAAUAGGAAAGCUGCUUUCUGGCCUCCCAUUCACUCCUAAAGUCAUCCCCCUGCCUCCUCUCUAAGUGUGGGGCUUCUGCUAAUUCAGUCUAUCCUCUUCUGGAUGCUCCCCUCUUCCUGGGAACUGUGAAUGACAACUAUCAGUGACAGGCAUCUCCCAUGGAUAGCACGUUUUUUUUGUGUUAAUACGCUAACGAUACUUUAAAGCAAUAAGGAAACUGUCAGCUUUUUCCCCAGGAGGGAGAGUAUAUGGAAAACUGAAUAAUGUCAUUUUAUGUUUGGAAAAACAGUUGUAAUUAUUUUAUGACUUUAAAUAAAGUGAAAUAUUACUCUC